AACGAACGUUGGCGGCGUGGAUUAGGCAUGCAAGUCGAACGAGAAAGCUUCCUUCGGGAAGUGAGUAGAGUGGCGAACGGGUGAGUAACGCGUGGGAAACCUGCCCUUGAGCGGGGGAUAACAUCCCUAACGGGGUGCUAAUACCGCAUGAUGCGGCGCGUCGCAUGGCUCGCCGGCAAAGGUGGCCUCUUCAUGAAAGCUGCCGCUUAAGGAUGGUCCCGCGUCCCAUUAGCUUGUUGGUGGGGUAAUGGCCUACCAAGGCGACGAUGGGUAGCCGGCCUGAGAGGGUGUCCGGCCACACUGGGACUGAGAUACGGCCCAG
rnacentral:rRNA from 1 species